rnacentral:rRNA from 1 species
GACGAACGCUGGCGGCGUGCUUAACACAUGCAAGUCGAACGGAAAGGCCCUGCUUUUGUUGGGUGCUCGAGUGGCGAACGGGUGAGUAACACGUGAGUAACCUGCCCUUCACUUUGGGAUAACUUCAGGAAACUGGGGCUAAUACCGGAUAGGAGCUCCUGCUGCAUGGUGGGGGUUGGAAAGUUUCGGCGGUUGGGGUUGGACUCGCGGCUUAUCAGUGUGUUGGUGGGGUAGUGGCUUACCAAGGCUUUGACGGGUAGCCGGCCUGAGAGGGUGACCGGCCACUGUGGGGCUGAGAUACGCCCCAGACUCCUACGGGAGGCAGCAGUGGGGAAUAUUGCACAAUGGGCGGAAGCGUGAUGCAGCAACGCCGCGUGCGGGAUGACGGCCUUCGGGUUGUAAACCGCUUUCGCCUGUGACGAAGCGUGAGUGACGGUAAUGGGUAAAGAAGCACCGGCUAACUACGUG